ACGCNUGGCGGCGUGGCUAAGACAUGCAAGUCGAACGGUCCGGUAUUUAUUUGUUUACAAAUUGUGCCGGAUAGUGGCGAAAGGGUGAGUAAUGGGUAGGUAACGUACCUCGUGCUUCGGGAUAGCGUCUGUUUACCUUCGGGUAAACUUCCGAAAGGGGCAAUAAUACCGAAUAAUAUCAGGUCUCGUAAGGUAUCUGAUCAAAGAUUUAUCGGUAUAAGAGCGGCCUACCUCCUAUCAGCUUGUUGGUGAGGUAAUGGCUCACCAAGGCUAUGACGGGUAGCGGGACUGAGAGGUUGGCCCGCCACAUCGGGACUGAGACACUGCCCGGACCUCCACGGAGGGCUGCAGUAACGAAUCUUGCGCAAUGGGCGAAAGCCUGACGCAGCGACGCCGCGUGCGGGAAGAAGUCCCUCGGGAUGUAAACCGCUGUCAGGGGGAAGAAAGUGCGCUCCGGCGUAUUGAUCCAACCCAAAGGAAGUCACGGCUAACUUCGUGCCAGCAGCCGCGGUAAUACG
rnacentral:rRNA from 1 species